CGCGUAGGCGGCCUGCUAAGUCGAACGUGAAAUCCCCGGGCUUAACCCGGGAACUGCGUCCGAUACUGGCUGGCUUGAAUCCGGGAGAGGGAUGCGGAAUUCCAGGUGUAGCGGUGAAAUGCGUAGAUAUCUGGAGGAACACCGGUGGCGAAGGCGGCAUCCUGGACCGGUAUUGACGCUGAUGCGCGAAAGCCAGGGGAGCAAACG
rnacentral:rRNA from 1 species